UAACGCGUAUAGAAUCUGCCUUGUACAGGAGGAUAGCCUUUAGAAAUGAAGAUUAAUACUCCAUAAUGUUGAGAGAUGGCAUCAUCUUUUAAUUAAAGAUUUAUCGGUACAAGAUGACUAUGCGUCCUAUUAGCUAGAUGGUAAGGUAACGGCUUACCAUGGCAACGAUAGGUAGGGGGUCUGAGAGGAUUAUCCCCCACACUGGUACUGAGACACGGACCAGACUCCUACGGGAGGCAGCAGUGAGGAAUAUUGGUCAAUGGAGGCAACUCUGAACCAGCCAUGCCGCGUGCAGGAAGACUGCCCUAUGGGUUGUAAACUGCUUUUAUACAGGAAGAAACUUAGUUACGUGUAACUAACUGACGGUACUGUAAGAAUAAGCACCGGCUAACUCCGUGCCAGCAGCCGCGGUAAUACGGAGGGUGCAAGCGUUAUCCGGAAUCAUUGGGUUUAAAGGGUCCGCAGGCGGUCA
rnacentral:rRNA from 1 species